AUGAACGCUGGCGGCGUGCCUAAUACAUGCAAGUCGAGCGAACAGAUGAGGAGCUUGCUCCUCUGACGUUAGUGGCGGACGGGUGAGUAACACGUGGAUAACCUACCUAUAAGACUGGGAUAACUUCGGGAAACCGGAGCUAAUACCGGAUAAUAUAUUGAACCGCAUGGUUCAAUAGUGAAAGACGGUUUUGCUGUCACUUAUAGAUGGAUCCGCGCCGCAUUAGCUAGUUGGUAAGGUAACGGCUUACCAAGGCAACGAUGCGUAGCCGACCUGAGAGGGUGAUCGGCCACACUGGAACUGAGACACGGUCCAGACUCCUACGGGAGGCAGCAGUAGGGAAUCUUCCGCAAUGGGCGAAAGCCUGACGGAGCAACGCCGCGUGAGUGAUGAAGGUCUUCGGAUCGUAAAACUCUGUUAUUAGGGAAGAACAAAUGUGUAAGUAACUAUGCACGUCUUGACGGUACCUAAUCAGAAAGCCACGGCUAACUACGUG
rnacentral:rRNA from 1 species